rnacentral:lncRNA from 1 species
CUCUGGUGCCUUUCUUACUCUUUCUGUGCGGUUCGUAACGAUAGUGUCAUUAGCAUUUUCAACUGUUUUAUUUUCGGUUAUUUUAGUUUGUUCGGAUUCAUUGUUAUUUUCAGAGUUUUCGGUAUCGCGGUUUGAAUUACAUGUUGGUACUGUAAUGAAUUCAGUGUCAAUAUCAGAUAUGGUAAUUUCAAGUAUGGUUGGUAUGUCUUUGUUUUCCCGCGGUACGAAUUCACGAAUCUGAUCAAUAUGUUUCUUCCAUACUUUAUCUCCAACUUGGACUUGAUAAGUUACUGUUCCGAGUUAAUGAACGAUAACUCCUUGUUUCC